rnacentral:rRNA from 1 species
CUACGGGGUGCACCAGUGGGGAAUAUUGCACAAUGGAGGAAACUCUGAUGCAGCAACGCCGCGUGGAGGAUGACACUUUUCGGAGCGUAAACUCCUUUUAUAUAGGAAGAUAAUGACGGUACUAUAUGAAUAAGCACCGGCUAACUCCGUGCCAGCAGCCGCGGUAAUACGGAGGGUGCAAGCGUUACUCGGAAUCACUGGGCGUAAAGAGCGUGUAGGCGGGUUAAUAAGUCAGAAGUGAAAUCCUAUGGCUCAACCAUAGAACUGCUUUUGAAACUGUUAACCUAGAGUGUGGGAGAGGUAGAUGGAAUUUCUGGUGUAGGGGUAAAAUCCGUAGAGAUCAGAAGGAAUACCGAUUGCGAAGGCGAUCUACUGGAACAUAACUGACGCUGAGACGCGAAAGCGUGGGGAGCAAACAGGAUUAGAUACCCGAGUAGUC